GGUCAGCCACGUCCAGCAUCAUCACGCUCAAGCGAUUCCCAUCAGCGAACACAUAGAAAUAACCAGACCGGUGGCCGUCCCGAUUUACAAAAACAUCGGUGUUCCCGUCGCCCAACCGGUCGCCAUCGCUGUUCCGCACCCCAUAGCCGUCGGGGUGCCGCAACCCUAUCCGGUUCACGUUCCAGUUGCGCAUCCGGUGGCCGUUCCAGUGGUGAAGACAAUCGCCGUUCCCGUUGAAAAGAAAGUUCCGUAUCCAGUUGAAAAGAUAAUCCCUGUACCGGUUGAGAAGGCGGUUCCAAUUACAAUCGAGAAACAUAUUCCUGUGCCGGUAGAAAAACCUUAUCCCAUACACGUUCCGGUAUACAAACACGUAUUCCAUCGUGUGAAAAGUCACGGAUGGAGCCACUAAUGACAAUGUAACAUAAUCGGGGACGAGUGCGCGAGCGUCCUUUGUACGUUUCAUUGUUUCUCGCGAAUACUUGGCUCGACACUUUACUCUCAUGGAUCGCGAGGGAUUCCGAUCGUUAUACUUUUCAGAGGUCGUCCGUCGUCAUUUGUCUCCGUACACCGGCAGCCCUUCGGACGGACACUCGAUGUGGUUGUUUUCUUUGAUUGAGAAACAAAAAGAUCGACGUUCCGCCUCAUUUCAUCCACGUCGCAUCGUACGCCAUGUUCA
rnacentral:misc_RNA from 1 species